UUUUUUUUUUUUGGUUUUAGGGCUGUACCCACUGCAUAUGGGUAGGUUCCCAGGCUAUGGGUCUAAUUGGAGAUACAACUGCCAGCCACGGCCACAGCCACAGCAGCACCAGAUCCUUAACCCACUGAGCGAGGCCAGGGAUCAAACCUGAAACCUCAUGGUUCCUAGUUGGAUUCGUUUCUGCUGCACCAUGACAGACACUCAUGAUAAAAUUUUUCAACAAACUAAGACUAGAGGGAAACUUUCUAAAUGUGAUUAGAGCACCUACAAAAAUGUACGUUCAACAUCAUUCUUAGUGGUGAAAAACUACUGAAUGCUUUUCCUCUAAGACUGGGAGUAAGGUAAGAAUGUCUGUCUCACUACUUAAUGGUGUGGAUGGGCCAAUCCCAAACUCACAAUCCAUCCCCCCACCACACACACACACCCCCUUUCCCCUUUGGUAACCUUAAGUUUGUUCUUGAAGUCUGUGAAUUUGUUUCUUUUGUGUGCAUGUGAAAGUUCUUAGACCAGGAAUUGAACUCAUGCCACAGCAACCACCCAAGUCACUGCAGAGACAAAGCCAGAUCCUUAACCGGCUGUACCACAAGGAAACUCCCUUGUUUCAUUUCUGUAAAUAAAUUCAGUUGUAUCAUUUUUUAAGAUUCCACAUGUAAGUGAUACCAUAUGAUGCUUGUCCUUCUCUGACUUACUUCACUUAGUAUGAUAAUCUCUAGGUCCAUCUAUGUUGCUAGAAAUGGCAUUAUGUCAUUCUUUUUUGUGGCUGAGUAAUAUUCCAUUUAUACAUGUACCACAUCUUCUUUAUCCAGUCCUUUGCUGAUGGACAUUUAGGUUGCUUCCAUGUCUUGGCUAUUGUAAUAGCGCUGCUGUGAACACUGGGGUGUGGUCUGAGGCCUGAGGCUAUGCAGGGACUCUGAAUAGAUUCCUCUGCCCUUCCACACCUCGGGGGAGCUUCAUCUAGGCUGGUUUCUGUGUAAACAAGAAUGUCACCAGUGUUCCAGUUAUUUUUGUUGCAUGACUAACUACCUCUAUACCUGGAGACUAUGUAUUGUCACUCUCUCUCAGGAUGCUGUGGGGUGACAGGGCUGAGCUGACCAGUUCUCCCUUGGGGUCUCCCGUACAGAUCGUGCAGCCUGAGUUUGAAGGGCUGGACCAUCUGGGGCUGGUCGGACUUCCCUCCACCUAAUUAGCUUGGGUAUUCUCACAGCAUGACAGUCUUGAAGUAACAGGCAGCCGUGUGCUGGGGCCAGCUUGUAGGAACUUGUAAGAACUAAUUCUGCAUAUUUCUUUCCAACCCUGCAUUCCGUGCUGUCACAUUGGUAGCGUGAAAUCAGCCAUGGUGGGAGCGAGUAUACCAUGCAAACCAGUGACCACUGCCCAUCAGGGGCCUUUCCCUGACCCCCAAGAGCCAGGUUACCAGCAUGUGACUUUCUUUACAUGGUGGUUGGCUUCCCCUAGAGUGAGAGGGCCAAGAAAACCGGAAGAAAGCUGCAAAAGCUUCCGAGAACCUAGCCAUGGAUGUCCCCAACCGUCACUUUCUUCCUAUCCUAUCAAACAAGUCCCUAAACCUAUACCCGAUUCAAGAGGAGGAGAAUUAUCUUCAUUGUCCCUUGGAAGAGAAGCAAAAAGAUUGUGUAAUAGAGGACCCGGCCCAGAGUAGUUCCUCAGUAAUUGUUUGAUGAAUGAAUGAAUGAAGUCUGAAUGUCCUUACAUCACCCUAAAAGUAUAAAGCCUUCUGGGAAGUCUUAAUUCAGCAUCAGAGAGGCCAAUAAUUCUUAAGUCCCUAAAGAGCCUAGAUGUAAAAUUGCUCGACAUAGCUCUAUUUAGUCGGCUGGUAUUCAUGGACCUGUUUACCCGAGCUCUUCCUGCUUAGUUACUCCACGGGGACUGCAUACAUGACAAUGGCAUAAUGCUUAUUUUAUAGGUGUUCUUAUACUAUUUGUUUGCUUUACCUGCCUAAGUAAAUUGCAGAUUCCUUGAGAGAGUUCUCACGUAUUUCUUUGCCAGUCCUCCUCCCCAUUUUGCCAAAACUAGAUAAUCAUACUUACAUAUACACACGGACGCUUACAAGAUACAGGAUAGUCAGAAAUUAUAAUAAGCCCUAUUCUCUCUUUCUUUUUUUCCCUUUGGAUGAAUACUCUUCCAUUGUAUGAAUUUAUCAGUAUUGAAGGACAUCUUACUUUCAGUAUUUGACCAUUAUCAAUAAUGUUCCUAUGAAUAAAAAAAAAAGAAAGAAAAGAAAUUAUAAGCCUGAGAAGAAAAGAAGGAACUAAAAAUUCUUCAUUGUUAUGUUUCAUAAGCGUUCUGAUUUCCACUUUAUAGCUGAGGAAAAUGAUUCUCAGGGAAAUGUACCAGGAGUUCCUGUGGUGGCCCAGGGGGUUAAAAACCUGACAUGAUGCCCCUGAGGAUGCUGCUUUGAUCCCUGGCCCCCCUCAGUGGGUUAAGGAUCCGCUGUUGCCACAAGCUGCAGCGCAGGGCGUGGAUGCAGCUGGGAUCUGGCGUUGCUGUGGCUCGGGUGUAGGCCGGCAACUGUAGCUCAGAUUCGGCCCCUAGCCAGGAAACUUCCCAUAUGCCUCAGGUGUGGCCCUAAAAAGAAAAAAAAAAAAAGGGAAACAUACCCAUCUGGUCAAGGCCACACUGCAAAGUGGUGAGCUAGGAUUCCUAUGAGACCUGCAGGGUUUCAAGGACCUGAGCUUUAUGUGUCCUUCAAGCCAUCCUCCCACUGCAAUGUACAGUCCCCCCCGCCCCAUGUGCCCCAUCCUCUCUGCCUCCUGCUUGAAGCAUCCACAGGAGUCAUAAAAAUGCUAAUGCUUCUAAACCCCACAUAGGGCAAUCAGGGUUUUCAAUUCUGCCUUCAGAAGAAAUGUCCUUUAAAAGCUUAGGAAGACACAAAGCUUAAAGCAUCGUAUACUAGGAAGGGAGGGAGCCUGACAGCGGAGAGGUCAGCUAAGCAGCUAUUGCAAUAAAUGAAGCAAAGAGUGCUGGUGGGAUGGACCAAGGGAGGGGUGGUGGGAUGGGGAUGGAAAAUUUCGAGGAUUAUUAAGAAGACAGAACCCACAGACUAGUGAUGGAUUGGAUGGUGCAGGUGAUGAUCAGUCAGUGUCGAAUCAUCACUCUGGCUGCACCGGGAACCUGAGACUGGAGAGGGGAAGCCGAGAUGGGAGGUCUCCUCAUUUCUGGAGAAGAGACGGUGAGGGCUUCAACUAGGAAAGCAGGCGUGGAAGCGGGAGAAGGCUGGGCUGGAGAGAGAACACAGAGGCAGAACCGGCAGGAUGUGUUGCCAAACUAGAUGUGGAAUGUGAGGAUGAAGGAAGGGUCGAGGGUGAAGUCCAGAAAUCUGUCCUAGAUCACCAACUGCUUUUCAUGAAGCCGGAGGACACGGGGUGGGGGGGAAGCCGUCUUCAGGUAAGGAUGAAUUCUGGAUGUGCCAAGUUUGAGGUGAUCUUGCAAGCAGAUGCUGGCAGCUGGCAUGCCAUUGCAUUUAAAACCAAACAAGCACCUCUUAUCUCAAUGCGAUGCUUUGUUCCCUUCAUAGGCUAGGGAUGAAAGCCCUCUACGCCGUGUGGGGCAGGCUCCUUCGUUGGGUGAUAAAGGGGCUCCACAAUUCUCAACGUUUUCACUUCGUGGUGGUUCAACUCUCUCCAAAAGCCAUUUAUCACCCUCUAGGCGCCUCUGUCAUCACCAAAAUGUCUUUCUUGAAACGUCCAAAGCUCAUAAGAGCUGUAUGAUUCAGUCCGUGGCAGUGACUCAUACAACUCAGAGGACGUGUGGCAGGGAGAUGUCAGCGGCCCCUAAAACCACAGGUUUGCACACACACACGUACACCCCCCUCCCCAAAACUUAGGACCUGCGUGGACAGGCUUUAAGACAUGUUUGCACACUUCUGCCCCACAAGGGAGCACAGCCAUUGUUUACACAAGGCUCUUGCGUGUCAGGACAGGGAGCCCGGGCCCUUUGUCCCUGCCCGGCUCCUGGAAGAAGGGAAGCAUUCAAGCCCAGCGAGUGGGCACAUGAUGGCUCUGCAGAGAGCAGCUGCUUUGAUCGUGAACCCCUCUAAGGCUUCUACCCACAGCACAAAGCCAGUGGUUAGGAAGGUCAGGGGGGUAGGACAGCCCAAGGAGACCACCCGAAGCUGCUUCACCAACGUGCUCAUCAUCUCACUCCUAGAACAGGCACCCGCGACCAAGCCCGGUUAGAGUUCCAUGCCCACGGCAGCCUGCCCGGGACCUGCCAGCUGCCCCCUCCCCCCACUGGUGGAAACCAGCUGCCUGGGAACCAGCCACCCUCCUCACCCAGAGUGUCCCUUGACCCAACUUUACCCCGAAAUGCCCUAAAAAGCCCCCCUCACAUCAAGCUUUCCUGCCCACUAAAGAGGAGCUUUCCUACCUCGAGAGAAGGUCCCGGGGUCCGGCCGUGGAAAAAACCCUGAGUUCCAGCAGACGUGACGG
rnacentral:lncRNA from 1 species